GAUGAACGCUGGCGGCGUGCCUAAUACAUGCAAGUCGAGCGAACAGACAAGGAGCUUGCUCCUUUGACGUUAGCGGCGGACGGGUGAGUAACACGUGGGUAACCUACCUAUAAGACUGGGAUAACUUCGGGAAACCGGAGCUAAUACCGGAUAAUAUUUCGAACCGCAUGGUUCGAUAGUGAAAGAUGGUUUUGCUAUCACUUAUAGAUGGACCCGCGCCGUAUUAGCUAGUUGGUAAGGUAACGGCUUACCAAGGCGACGAUACGUAGCCGACCUGAGAGGGUGAUCGGCCACACUGGAACUGAGUCACGGUCCAGACUCCUACGGGAGGCAGCAGUAGGGAAUCUUCCGCAAUGGGCGAAAGCCUGACGGAGCAACGCCGCGUGAGUGAUGAAGGUCUUCGGAUCGUAAAACUCUGUUAUUAGGGAAGAACAUACGUGUAAGUAACUAUGCACGUCUUGACGGUACCUAAUCAGAAAGCCACGGCUAACUACGUGCCAGCAGCCGCGGUAAUACGUAGGUGGCAAGCGUUAUCCGGAAUUAUUGGGCGUAAAGCGCGCGUAGGCGGUUUUUUAAGUCUGAUGUGAAAGCCCACGGCUCAACCGUGGAGGGUCAUUGGAAACUGUAAAACUUGAGUGCAGAAGAGGAAAGUGGAAUUCCAUGUGUAGCGGUGAAAUGCGCAGAGAUAUGGAGGAACACCAGUGGCGAAGGCGACUUUCUGGUCUGUAACUGACGCUGAUGUGCGAAAGCGUGGGGAUCAAACAGGAUUAGAUACCCUGGUAGUCCACGCCGUAAACGAUGAGUGCUAAGUGUUAGGGGGUUUCCGCCCCUUAGUGCUGCAGCUAACGCAUUAAGCACUCCGCCUGGGGAGUACGACCGCAAGGUUGAAACUCAAAGGAAUUGACGGGGACCCGCACAAGCGGUGGAGCAUGUGGUUUAAUUCGAAGCAACGCGAAGAACCUUACCAAAUCUUGACAUCCUUUGACAACUCUAGAGAUAGAGCCUUCCCCUUCGGGGGACAAAGUGACAGGUGGUGCAUGGUUGUCGUCAGCUCGUGUCGUGAGAUGUUGGGUUAAGUCCCGCAACGAGCGCAACCCUUAAGCUUAGUUGCCAUCAUUAAGUUGGGCACUCUAAGUUGACUGCCGGUGACAAACCGGAGGAAGGUGGGGAUGACGUCAAAUCAUCAUGCCCCUUAUGAUUUGGGCUACACACGUGCUACAAUGGACAAUACAAAGGGCAGCGAAACCGCGAGGUCAAGCAAAUCCCAUAAAGUUGUUCUCAGUUCGGAUUGUAGUCUGCAACUCGACUACAUGAAGCUGGAAUCGCUAGUAAUCGUAGAUCAGCAUGCUACGGUGAAUACGUUCCCGGGUCU
rnacentral:rRNA from 1 species